GGUUACCUUGUUACGACUUCACCCCAGUCAUGAAGCACACCGUGGUAAACGCCCUCCCUAAGGUUAGACUAUCUACUUCUGGUGCAAUCCACUUCCAUGGUGUGACGGCGGUGUGUACAAGACCCGAAGAACGUAUUCACCGCGGCAUGCUGAUCCGCGAUUACUAGCGAUUCCGACUUCAUGGAGUCGAGUUGCAGACUCCAAUCCGGACUACGAGAAACUUUCUAGGAUUAGCACCACCUCGCGGCUUAGCGUCCGUCUGUAUUCCCCAUUGUAGCACGUGUGUAGCCCUACUCGUAAGGGCCAUGAUGACUUGACGUCGUCCUCACCUUCCUCCGGUUUAUCACCGGCAGUCCCC
rnacentral:rRNA from 1 species